ACUCCUACGGGAGGCAGCAGUGGGGAAUCUUGCGCAAUGCGCGAAAGCGUGACGCAGCAACACCGCGUGAGGGAAGACGGCCUUAGGGUUGUAAACCUCUUUCAGAUGGGACGAAGUUGUCCGGUGAAUAGCCGAGGCAAUUGACGGUACCGUCAGAAGAAGCUCCGGCUAACUACGUGCCAGCAGCCGCGGUAAUACGUAGGGAGCGGAGCGUUGUCCGGAAUCAUUGGGCGUAAAGAGCACGUAGGUGGGUUAAUUAGUCUGCUGUGAAAGUCAAUGGCUCAACCAUUGAAUGCCGGUGGAUACUGGUUGAUCUAGAGUACGGAAGGAGG
rnacentral:rRNA from 1 species